rnacentral:rRNA from 1 species
UCCAAAACAUAGCUACCAGAAAAAAUUAAUGGUGGUGAAACCUGCUCCAUGAUUUCCAUUUCCCAUAAAAACAUAAAAACAAUAAACAAAAUUAAAUAGCUGCGGUAACCGUGACCGUACUAAGGUAGCAUAAUAAAUCGUCUACUAAUUGUAGAAUAGAAUGAAGGUCACACGAAAAUUCAACUGUCUCAAAAAAACAAUUGUGAAAAUAAAAAGUACGUGAAUAUACGUACACUAACGGCAAGACGAUAAGACCCUACGAACUUUACCAAAAAUUUACAUUUCAUCAAAACAAAAAAAUAUAAAUAAUACGUUUCGUUGGGGCAACGACCUUAAAAAAGUAACUAAGGCUAAAAUAAUCAAAUCAAUAUAAGACCAAUUAAUCAAAAAUACAAAAGAUAAAACCCAUUACACACACCGAAAUAAUAAUGCAAAAAAAUAAAAGUUCCGUAGGGAUAACAGCGUAAUAUUAUUUCAAGAAAAUCAAUCUUAAAUAAAGAUUGCGACCUC